AGCGUUACGAUCACCUCGGGAAUGGAGGAUAUUCAGAACUCUGAACACAACGUUAUGGUUGUUCUUUCAAAAAUUUACAAUUGAACAGUAACUUAAUACAGCUUUGAAACUUUACUAUGCAGAACAAAAAUGCUGCUUUUAACCAUCUUAAUUUAAAUGAAACAAGCACAGAAACAGUUUCCUGACCUUGUCAAAUCCUUUUUUUUUUUUUUUUUUUUUAAUUUCCCUUUAUUUUUUUGUAGUAGUCUCCAUUUAACACAGUACUGUAUUUGUAUUUUUGGUUCUGCUGUUGCUGAUUGUAUACUUCUGGUUCCAAAUGACGUGUAUAGUUGACUGGUCAGUUUGUAACUCUGGUGUUUGUAACUCUGAGGUUCUAUUGUAGAUCACAACUAGUUUAGGUAUGUCUACACAUGCCACAAUCGCAUCUUUAUUGCAGUGAGACAUACCCUGAAUUUCUCCAUUUAUGCAACCUGUUGUGGCUGGGGUAGUCAUUCAUUCAUUGUGCAAACAAUGACUGUCAGACACUUUUGGCCCCUUUAAAAUUCCCUUCCAAUUGCUAAAAAUUGUUUUUAUAUCAUGUUUUCUUUUUGCAAAAAGUGGUGAAGACAAUCAAAGCCAGGAGAAGAAACUUUCUAGCAUGCAUAGCUCCUGUCCUUCGCGUUAUUUGUUGUAAGGAUUGCAUCAUGUAGCAUUACAUUCCCAGUGCUUGAAGGAAGAAAAAAUCUCCUUAAUAGGAUGGGAAGUGUCCAGUCCACUGAGGCACAGAAGCAGAACACAGGGAUUGAAACUCAAAAGAAAAUACCUAUCCCUGAGUCAUUAAAUUAUUAAAUACAUGCCCAAGUGUAAAAGAUACCACCUGAUUCAAAUUGCAUCAACAGUAGAGCUAGGGGAAUUUUUUUUGAAAAAUAGCUUAUUUUCUUAAAAAAUGCAGUUUUGGUUGACUUGAAAUUAUUCAUGAAUUCAUUGCCAUUCGUAGUCAUUCAUGAUGACAAUGAAUAGUCAUUGGGCCAAGAAAGAGUGAGAAGUGACUCUGUAGCGUAGUGGUAGGGCACUCCUCUGGGAGACCCAAGUUUAAGUCCCUGCUCCAGUGACUAACUAUUGAUGCAACAUGGAAUUGCUUCAACAGAAGAGAGAGGCACCUUCCCUUCCCUGUCCCUUCUGUUUUGUGAACACAGGGCUUGUCUAUAUGAAUGGUUAGUGCAUGGCAAGCAGGGGUGUAAAUUUACCUCACAUUAGCCUGAUGCACAUGAGCAGUCCACACUAAAAGUUCCCUAGUGCAUUUUGAUCUACCCUGCUUUGAAAUGGGAAUAGAUCAAAAGCACACUAGUGAUCUUAUAGUGCAUAGCCAUAUGGACAGUUAGCGCGCAACAGGCUAGUGUGAGGUAGACUUACACCCCAGCUUCCAUGCACUAACUGGUCAUAUAGAUAAGCCCUUGUGGUCCUUUACUUUUGUUAAAAUGCGCAAAAUUGAAACACAAUUUUCAGUUUGGUCGAACAAAGUAUUCUGUUUCACCCCUCUGUGUUUUCCGACUCUUCAGUUGGCUGAAAAUGUUGGUUUUGGUUCAACACAAAAUUAAACAUUUUUUUUCAUUUUUGUUUUUUUGAAAUGCUACUGAACCAAAAAGUCCAUUAUUCACCCAGCUUUGGUUAACAUCAUUCUGCAUAACCUCUCCUCUCAGCCUCCUAAUGGAUAGCUAUGGAACACAGCAAUGUAGUGAAAUGUAGGAAUAUAGAUCCACGAGGUACUGUAUAUUGUUAUGUAUUUUUUUUUUUUAAGUGGGUCAUAGCCAAGAAGAUCAGUUUGGUGGAAUGCUCAUAAAUUUACUGUGAUUAUGUUCUUGCUCAGAAAAGCCUGGCAAAAUUAAGGGGCAGAAAUAUGACCUGCAAUUAUGAAUAAACUCUGAAUGUGGUGGUGCAAGAGACCUAACAGAUUUCCUACCAUCUAGAAGGCACAUAUGACUGUUCUGCAGUUAUACCAGACAGUGUGCUAUUGUGUGAACUCAGCUGAAUUAGGGUAUUGUGAGGAAGGGUUUUUCCUCUUGUUUAGUUUUUAGAACUGACAUGGUGGUUGCAUCACUGCAUAUCCCAUAUAGGAAAAAAUAAUGAAUGGUCUUUGUCUAUGUCCUUGCUGAGCUAA